CAGUCGCCGCGGGAAUACGUAGGUGGCAAGCGUUGUCCGGAAUUAUUGGGCGUAAAGGGCUCGCAGGCGGUUUCUUAAGUCUGAUGUGAAAGCCCCCGGCUCAACCGGGGAGGGUCAUUGGAAACUGGGAAACUUGAGUGCAGAAGAGGAGAGUGGAAUUCCACGUGUAGCGGUGAAAUGCGUAGAGAUGUGGGGGAACACCAGUGGCGAAGGCGACUCUCUGGUCUGUAACUGACGCUGAGGAGCGAAAGCGUGGGGAGCGAACAGGAUUAGAGACCCCCGUAGUCCCUGUCUCUUAUAC
rnacentral:rRNA from 1 species